GGGAAAGUGGCGAAACGGUUAGACGCGGGGCGAGUUGAGCCCUGGGAAGUUGCGCAACCCUUGUUGGUUCAAAUCCAACCUUUCCCACCA
rnacentral:tRNA from 1 species